rnacentral:rRNA from 1 species
AGGAAAGCAGGGGAUCGCAAGACCUUGCGCUUUUGGAGCGGCCGAUGUCUGAUUAGCUAGUUGGUGAGGUAAAGGCUUACCAAGGCUUCGAUCAGUAGCUGGUCUGAGAGGACGACCAGCCACACUGGGACUGAGACACGGCCCAGACUCCUACGGGAGGCAGCAGUGGGGAAUUUUGGACAAUGGGGGAAACCCUGAUCCAGCCAUGCCGCGUGAGUGAAGAAGGCCUUCGGGUUGUAAAGCUCUUUCAGCCGGAACGAAAAGGUUACGGUUAAUACCCGUGACUAAUGACGGUACCGGAAGAAGAAGCACCGGCUAACUACGUGCCAGCAGCCGCGGUAAUACGUAGGGUGCGAGCGUUAAUCGGAAUUACUGGGCGUAAAGCGUGCGCAGGCGGUUUUGUAAGUCAGAUGUGAAAUCCCCGGGCUCAACCUGGGAACUGCGUUUGAACCUACAAGGCU